rfam:Anolis carolinensis chromosome 6, whole genome shotgun sequence.
AGAAUGGUUCUUCUAAGAACCAUACCUGUGAAAAAGACAGUAGGGGU